rnacentral:tRNA from 4 species
AUCUUUCUAUUAUAGUGUAAGUAUAGGUGACUUCCAAUCACCGGGGCUUGGUUAAAAUCCAAGGAAAGAUA